rnacentral:rRNA from 1 species
AACGAACGCUGGCGGCGUGCCUAACACAUGCAAGUCGAGCGCGAAAGUCCCUUCGGGGGCUAGUAGAGCGGCGGACGGGUGAGUAAUACGUGGAUAAUCUUCCCUCGAGCUUGGGAUGACCCUGCGAAAGUGGGGCUAAUACCGGAUAAGACCACAUAGCAUAUGCUACGUGGUAGAAGGUGGCUUAUAUUUAUAUGAGCUAUCACUUGAGGACGAGUCCAUGGCCUAUCAGCUAGUUGGUGAGGUAAAAGCUCACCAAGGCUAUGACGGGUAGCUGGUCUGAGAGGACGACCAGCCACACUGGGACUGAGACACGGCCCAGACUCCUACGGGAGGCAGCAGUGGGGAAUAUUGGGCAAUGGGCGAAAGCCUGACCCAGCGACGCCGCGUGGGUGAUGAAGGCCUUCGGGUUGUAAAGCCCUUUCGUGCGGAAAGAACAGCCCUGUAGCGAAUACCUACAGGGUUUGACGGUACCGCAGGAAGAAGCACCGGCUAACUCCGUGCCAGCAGCCGCCGUAA